UACGGAGGGAGUUAGCGUUGUUCGGAAUUACUGGGCGUAAAGCGCACGUAGGCGGUUACUCAAGUCAGAGGUGAAAGCCCGGGGCUCAACCCCGGAACGGCCUUUGAAACUAGGUAACUAGAAUCUUGGAGAGGUCAGUGGAAUUCCGGGUGUAGAGGUGAAAUUCGUAGAUAUUCGGAAGAACACCAGUGGCGAAGGCGACUGACUGGACAAGUAUUGACGCUGAGGUGCGAAAGCGUGGGGAGCAAACAGG
rnacentral:rRNA from 1 species